GUUUUACAAGUUAACAGGUGGCAUCGCUGUCAUCUACGGAAGCAACAAAAUUGCACGUUGUUGGCCAUUCAGGCUGGCAACCAUUAAAAUAGGAAAACCCAACCUCAGAAAAGACGCCAAGCAAAUUUUGAGGUUAGUCAGUGCUAAAUAACACUUGCUAACAAGGCAUCGCAUUUAAUUAACCAGGUGUUGUAUGGUUUCCUGCAUCCGGGAAGGUUGUGUGAGAAUGAGUGGAUAGAGGUUGGACAUUCCUGCUUUGGUUGAGUUAGCGUACGGAGCAUAUACUAUAUAUAUAUACUUAGUAUUAAUACUAGCUGUCAUUUUACAAACACCACAUUUUGGCGACGAGGACGGGAUGGCAACCACUCGAAAGACGGCGCAUCUUUGCUACACCAAAGACGGAAUGGUAGAGAGGUACACGUUCAGACAAAGGCGCCAGCGACAUGCAGGAUAUGGUUCUGUCUACUGUAUAGCAGAAUGGUGUGACUGUUGGCUCUCUAUUGGUCUGAAGAUGGGAUUUACAUUGGGCAAAGUCAGUGAUAAUACAAAUGGUAUCUCUGUUGGUCCCAACAAGUUGAAGGCUUUGUUUGAAGUAAAGGCAUGAGAAGUAGGACGAGAUAUAAGGCAGCUAAACAACUGCUAGCAGGUUUUCGUAAUAUUCCACAGCCAAUUAUAGGGGCAGUGAUGGAUCAACUGGCAAUAUCAAGUGUUGCAGCAGCUGUAGCAUCACCUAAAUCUAUUUCUACAGAAAUGAAGCUGGCGGCUGACUGCAAAUUGAGUGGAAAACAUCUGGUUGUUUCAGCUCAUGAAAUUUCUGGUUAUUGGAAAAAAUUUGCUGCACUGCUUGCUCCAGACAAGUUUACCUCGUCAACAGUCAGUAUAAUAGAACAGGAACACAGAUUUUUGUUGUUUCAUCAAGCUCAUCAAAUGCUGAAUGACUGACCAAUGAUCUGGACAGAGAAGCUAAAUGUCGUUUGAUUAUUGUAACAUUUCUUAGAAUGCACAAGAAAGCUCAGGCGAAUUCCUUAUUUGAUGCAGACUUGGUAAAGUAUGUUGAAAGGACAGAGACAACGUGUGCCUGCCAAGACAUCAAAGUCUUUUUUAUUUGAAGCUUGUAACUACAGAAGUCUAUAGCUAGUUACUGCACCCACGUUUUGAAUAAAGAUAGCAACAUCUAAAUUGAGUUGUGAUGGCAGUACCUCACAU